rnacentral:rRNA from 1 species
AGUCGAACGGUAACAGGUUAAGCUGACGAGUGGCGAACGGGUGAGUAAUGUAUCGGAACGUGCCCAGUCGUGGGGGAUAACUGCUCGAAAGAGCAGCUAAUACCGCAUACGACCUGAGGGUGAAAGCGGGGGAUCGCAAGACCUCGCGCGAUUGGAGCGGCCGAUAUCAGAUUAGGUAGUUGGUGAGGUAAAGGCUCACCAAGCCGACGAUCUGUAGCUGGUCUGAGAGGACGACCAGCCACACUGGGACUGAGACACGGCCCAGACUCCUACGGGAGGCAGCAGUGGGGAAUUUUGGACAAUGGGCGCAAGCCUGAUCCAGCCAUGCCGCGUGCGGGAAGAAGGCCUUCGGGUUGUAAACCGCUUUUGUCAGGGAAGAAAAGGUUCUGGCUAAUACCUGGGACUCAUGACGGUACCUGAAGAAUAAGCACCGGCUAACUACGUGCCAGCAGCCGCGGUAAUACGUAGGGUGCAAGCGUUAAUCGGAAUUACUGGGCGUAAAGCGUGCGCAGGCGGUUAUGCAAGACAGAGGUGAAAUCCCCGGGCUCAACCUGGGAACUGCCUUUGUGACUGCAUGGCUAGAGUACGGUAG